AAGAGUUCGGAAUUUCUCCAGCUGUAAAUUCAUAUGACAUAACUUUACUACUUGCAAAGGCAAUUGGUGUUAAUGUCAUUGAAAAAAGAUCAUACCCUCUACUGUGACUGGAUGGUUCAGGAAUGCAGAAGAUCCUGGAUAACAUUUUCAGUUUGUAGUGCAGUGCAGAUGGAAAAAUAAUAAACAGGGAUCUAGAAAUAUUAGAAAAUAUCAAAAGGAGAUUCAGCUUGGAAAUCUGUAAACUAAUAUAUUUAUGCAAAACUUAUCUGAAACUCAGAUAUCCAAUGAGAGGAAGAAAUAUGGAAAACAGUAGUGCUAAGUGACCUGGGCAUGGAAGUUAUCAAAUUAAUAAUGAGUUAUGUUGUUUGGCAAGGGGUAGGCUUGUUGUACCUACAAAACUGCCACUACCACCACAAUAAAGACCUUGGCAUCUCAGGAGAGAUGCCAAGGUUUAAGUGGGCUCGGAGGAGACUAAACAAUCCUCUCACCCUCCAAGGUGAAGCACAUUGGUGGGGCAGUGAGGGAGACUUGCACUGCUGCUUCCUGUGCUAUACCUGUUUUGUAGAUAAAGAACCUCAGUCUCCAGGUCUGACAAUAGGGCAUUUUUCACACACACUAGAAAUUCACACAAAAGAACAAAAACAUCUAGUCAAUAAAAUCAACAAGAGAUUUACAUGAAGCGAGAUUCCGAUGGAGGUGUUAAAGUUAGGAAGAAAAGAGUUAGAGACCUAAAAUAUAAAAUGUUUGGAAACAAUGAAUGUGCAGAUAUGACUGCUCUCUUGGAAGAUGGUUGGAAUGGGAGGAAGUCUGCUCUUGUGGCUAACACAAAGGAGUGAAAAGUCAAGAGAUCUGGAUUUUAUUCCUGGCUCUGCCACAGACAUCCUAUGUAAUCUUGGGCAAGUCACUUAAUCUCUCUGUCUCAGUUUCCCUAUCUAUAAAAUGAGUGAUGCUUGUACAACAGUUUUAAAAUACAUAAAAAAGUGAGUACCAAAUAUUUUUCUUGCUAUAUCAAAGAUCAUUUAAGCAACAAUUUUAAACAAGAUUGUUUGGAAUGAGUGGGCACUGAAGAUGGCAAAUCUGGGCUUGGAGUGAGAUAUUACAUUAUGAAUAAUGAUUUAUUAUUCAUUCUAUAAUACUAAGCAUGCAAAUAUCACUGGAAAUUCAAAAAAAAUAAAUCCCAUCUUAUAAAAAUCUGUGCUUUAAAAUGUCUACAGAUAGGUUCAGUCUCAAAUCUCCCCUGCAGUCUCAUGUGGCGUCUACUUCCCAUUAUAUCAAUUACUAUUUGGGAAGGUGUUAUGUGAACAUUUCUUUUACAUUUGGUCAGAGAAAUAUCAAAGGCUAAAUCGUGCUGAGUUACACCAGUGUUUGUUAAAAGAGAAUUUGGCCUAAGGGCCAGAUUUGUAAGGGUAUCUAAUGAUGGAGAUAGGUAUAUAGUAAGAUUUUCAAAAGUACCUUGGUGCCUAAUUUCCAUUGAAAUCAAUGUUGGGCACCUAGGUACAUCUGAAAAGCCCACUAGACACCCAUCUGCAUAUUUAGGUACCUAAAUACCUUUGAAAAUCUGAACUUAAGUUUUUAAGUCAUUUUCCUGGCAAAUAGAGUGAAAUAGAUAGGAGAAUGUUAAUUUGACAGAUAGCAAAGAAAUUACAGGCAGAUCCUUGCAUUCAACUAAGACGUGGUUGCAUGGGUAUAAAUGAGGGCAGAAUUUGGUCCAUUAUAUCUUUGUGGAGGGAUAACAAACAAUAUGUUAAAAGUACAGGAGUACUUGUGGCACCUUAGAGACUAACAAAUUUAUUUCAGCAUAAGCUUUCGGGGGCUACAGCUUACUUCUUCAAAUGCACAGAAUGGAACACAGAGAUAUUUAUACAUACAUAAAUAUAUAAAUAUCUUCUGUCUGUGUGUUCCCUUCUAUGCAUCCGAAGAAGUGAGCUGUAGCCCACGAAAGCUGAUGCUGAAAUAAAUUUGUUAGUCUCUAAGGUGCCACAAGUACUCCUGUUCUUUUUGCGGAUACAGACUCACAUGGCUGCUACUCUGAAACAAUAUGUUGGCUUUUUACUUUAUCCACAAAAUCCAUCAUUCAGUACUUCAAGACUAGACAUCGCAGGCUAUUUGCCAUUUCUUAAAUUAGUCUCAUUGUACAAAGAAAACAGUCACUGCCCACAGAUCCCAUUCUGAACGCUAAAAAAAAUGAAGCCAAGAGUAUCAAAAUUUGGGGACAAGCUGACUGCAAGUUUACCUGUUUCUCAGAAAUCCUGAUGGGCUCUUUCAGCACUAUCCAUGUUACACUCUCAUAUAGAGGAGGUGUUGUUAGAGAACCAGGAUAUGUCCAAUAAUUUAGACUAGAUGGCAGGAGGCAUUUUGGGUUGAAGGUUCUGAACUGAGCUUUUGUCCCCUGGAAGGAACAGAUACAUUAUAUUUCUUUUUUUAAAAAAAUGUGUUUAAGGAGAUAGAUAUUUAUUGAGAAACAGAAACACCAGCUGAUAGCUUAAAAUUGCAAGAAUAAUGGGAUGAUCAUUUGGCUCUGUCUAAGCACAACAACAUCAUGAGAAUAGUGCUUAUUUAGUAUUGUGGUGAUAUCACAUGAGCUGUGGUGAUCCCAGACCCAAUUGUUGGCUUAGGGAUGUAUGUCCCUGCUGCCUGUGUUAGCACUGAGCUAGUAAAACAAAAGGUCCCCUUGCAAUUAGUGCCCCUUCCCCAUCAAGAAAUUAGGCAGAAAAUCUCUCCUCUGUAUAGUGCCCAGCACGAGCUGCCAAUGGUGCACACUUCAUCACCAGCAUUUGCUUCUACUGAAUUGUGGCAUUCCAGUGCUAAUUACCUGCCACUUUUUGUGCCUGGAGCAACAAGGCAAUCCAGGCAAAGAUUGCCUCUGCAAUCAAACACCCAAAUCUAGAACAAAGAGCAGGUUUAUCCUGAAGCUGUAGGUGUAAUUUCCAGCUCAGGUAAGGAUGUGGCAGAGGGAUGUUGAGUCUUCAUGGUUACAGUGGUCCAGAACAGGACUCCUGGAUCCAGGCAUUGUAACUGAGAAGCAGAUCAGGAGGAGAGGGCACCUGCUCACUCACACUCCAGAGCCACACAACCAAAAAACGCCAACGUGUCUGCAAAAUUCUGCUCAGCCCAGAACCCAGCAGGAGUGAGGACAAGGGCAUCUCAUCCUGAAGAGCAGUCCUGCCAUUUUUAAAAGGAAUUACAAGAAAUGUCUGAAGGGGCAACGCUUCCUUUCAAAGCAGGGAAGCAAGUUAUGGCCAAGCACAUAUCCACAACAUCAGAAUUCAAUAGUCCCUUCUCAAAACACACAGAGGCAGGAACAACAUGUUCAUUCAUUAUGAACUCCUUGUUAGCAUAAGGGGAUUAUAUUGAAGUUUUGUGCAUUAGAUCCUACAAUUCUAGGAUACAAGGCAACCAUGAGUGGUAAGAGACAAUACAUUAGAAUGAAGUGUGUUCAAACUAUCACUUUUAUAUGCCCUUGCAUUACAUUAUGUACUAAUGAUGGAUGAAUUUCGAGGCGGGGGAGAGAUGGAAUUUGCUGCUUUAAUUUGUUUUUAUUUCACUCAAGCUCGUGCACAAGUUUAUACUAUUUAAAAGUCAUCCAAGUGAGGGGAAGAAAAACAGAUACAAGAGCAAACAAAAAACUUACUUUAAAUUUUACCAUAUACAAGGCAUCAGUUAGUCUGUUCAUAUUGGCAUGUUCUUCUCCAGUCUACAAGUGUAAUGGAUACAGUUGCAUGAGAAUAUAGAUAAGAUAUAGUUAAUAAUUAUGCUUUGAAUAUAUAAACAGGCCAUUUUUUCUGUCUUAGGCAUGUUCGCACUGAAGUAGGUUUAACUGCAGUCUGCCUUGAGUCACUGCUACCAAUAAAGUCAUUUAUUUUCCCCAAA